GGAGGAAAGCGAUCAAUAGAAAACAAGAGUACUCAUAACAAACCUUUACCAGAGUUGCUCUACCCAAGGGACUAGUGCACACAAGUAUUUUCUCCUGCUAAUCUAAAUUUAGAAAAAGAACUCUCACCACUGCUUCCAGCAGAACUUGCAGGCAGAGAACUGGGAGACAUCUGGACAUGGGCCAAAUCUGAAAAACCAUGAUAAUGGGGCCAAGGGUGCUCAGUGCAGUGUGGAUGCUUAUGAAAGAGAGUUCUUUCACACAACAGAGCCCACCUGAAACCAGUGCCUGAAGUCCAAGGCACAGUGAAAGGCCAGCAAUGCAAACAUUUGGAUAGAAGUAUCCCACAGAUAUUUGCUCCAGCCGUGGCCUGACAAGAGUGGUGUGUCAUAUGGAACCUGCACCUGAUUUGCAGCACAGGGCAACACACGAUAUGGAAACACCUACCUGUGAGUAAUGGACACUGAGGUGAGCUGAAUAGCAGCAUUCACGCAACCCAAAUCCUGGCCUGGGAAGCCAUUGAGAGAACUGACUCUGAUAUUCUGACAGUAAGGUCUUUCUUGGCUCAUGAGGAAGAUCAUAAUAGGUUAAUGAUGGUGCCCACUACAUUCUAGGCUCUGCCUAUGCUAGGCCCCUCAUAAACAUCUUCUCGAAGACUCACAGUAUACCUACUAUUAUCCCCAUUUUGCAGUUAGGAAAAUAGGCUCAGAGAGGUUAAGGGGCUUGCCCACCAGAUAGCUAGAGAUAAUGAGAAAAUUAAGGGAUGAAGACACAAUUUUAUUCAUCCAUUUCUGUUCUGAUAAGGUUAUCUAAAAUCUUCUUUGGUCCCUCCAAGAUGAAGAUAAUUAAUAGAUCAUAUUAUCUCCUAGGUUCCUGUGGACAUGUUAGGUAAGUAAAACUUAUAUUGAUCAAAAACAUGACCAAAAAUGCUUUGUCACUUCCCUCAGAAAGAGAUGUGGUCUAUUUUGCCACCCUCUGGAAACUGGCCUGUGACUGCUCUGACCAAGAGAGCAUGCUGGAAGAGACUCUCCCAGUUUCAGGUCCAGCCUAUAAAUGGCCUGGCAGCUUCCACCUCUCCCUCUGGAAUCCAGUGGAGAAGCCCACCUGGAGCAGAACAAAGGCCCCAGCCAAUAGCCAGCCCAACCUGUCCAUCAUGUGAGACUUACAGAGGCACUAGAUCCUCCAGCCCAGUCAAGCUACCCCAGCCAGGUGAUAUGUUUUCCAGGAAAGUCUGAUGCUUGGCUGGACCUCUCAAUGUGUUACCAUCCUGGGUCGUUGGGCUCUCCAAGCAAUCGAAAUUGACUGGAGCCAAGCAGGAAUUUCAG